ACGAUAACGGCGUCGAGCGGCGGACGGGUGAGUAAUGCCUAGGAAAUUGCCCUGAUGUGGGGGAUAACCAUUGGAAACGAUGGCUAAUACCGCAUGAUGCCUACGGGCCAAAGAGGGGGACCUUCGGGCCUCUCGCGUCAGGAUAUGCCUAGGUGGGAUUAGCUAGUUGGUGAGGUAAGGGCUCACCAAGGCGACGAUCCCUAGCUGGUCUGAGAGGAUGAUCAGCCACACUGGAACUGAGACACGGUCCAGACUCCUACGGGAGGCAGCAGUGGGGAAUAUUGCACAAUGGGCGCAAGCCUGAUGCAGCCAUGCCGCGUGUGUGAAGAAGGCCUUCGGGUUGUAAAGCACUUUCAGUCGUGAGGAAGGUAGUGUAGUUAAUAGCUGCAUUAUUUGACGUUAGCGACAGAAGAAGCACCGGCUAACUCCGUGCCAGCAGCCGCGGUAAUACGGAGGGUGCGAGCGUUAAUCGGAAUUACUGGGCGUAAAGCGCAUGCAGGUGGUUUGUUAAGUCAGAUGUGAAAGCCCGGGGCUCAACCUCGGAAUUGCAUUUGAAACUGGCAGACUAGAGUACUGUAGAGGGGGGUAGAAUUUCAGGUGUAGCGGUGAAAUGCGUAGAGAUCUGAAGGAAUACCGGUGGCGAAGGCGGCCCCCUGGACAGAUACUGACACUCAGAUGCGAAAGCGUGGGGAGCAAACAGGAUUAGAUACCCUGGUAGUCCACGCCGUAAACGAUGUCUACUUGGAGGUUGUGGCCUUGAGCCGUGGCUUUCGGAGCUAACGCGUUAAGUAGACCGCCUGGGGAGUACGGUCGCAAGAUUAAAACUCAAAUGAAUUGACGGGGGCCCGCACAAGCGGUGGAGCAUGUGGUUUAAUUCGAUGCAACGCGAAGAACCUUACCUACUCUUGACAUCCAGAGAACUUUCCAGAGAUGGAUUGGUGCCUUCGGGAACUCUGAGACAGGUGCUGCAUGGCUGUCGUCAGCUCGUGUUGUGAAAUGUUGGGUUAAGUCCCGCAACGAGCGCAACCCUUAUCCUUGUUUGCCAGCGAGUAAUG
rnacentral:rRNA from 1 species